rnacentral:tRNA from 1 species
GCCUCUGUAGCUUAGUGGUGGAGCACACGCUUGGUAUUUACGUGCGAAGCACGGAAACUCAGAAAUCUUAGAUUUCUGUUGUCCGUAGGACGUUUUUGUCCGAGGGCCCCAAAAAUCUUUGAUUUUUGAGGGUAGACAAAAAGCGUGAGGUCGCGAGUUCAAUUCUCGCCAGAGGCU